CCUACGGGGAGCAGCAGUGGGGAAUAUUGGACAAUGGGCGAAAGCCUGAUCCAGCCAUGCCGCGUGUGUGAAGAAGGCCUUCGGGUUGUAAAGCACUUUCAGUGGGGAAGAAAGCCUUGGGGCUAAUACCCUCGAGGAAGGACAUCACCCACAGAAGAAGCACCGGCUAACUCCGUGCCAGCAGCCGCGGUAAUACGGAGGGUGCGAGCGUUAAUCGGAAUUACUGGGCGUAAAGCGCGCGUAGGCGGUCUGAUAAGCCGGUUGUGAAAGCCCCGGGCUCAACCUGGGAACGGCAUCCGGAACUGUCAGGCUAGAGUGCAGGAGAGGAAGGUAGAAUUCCCGGUGUAGCAGUGAAAUGCGUAGAGAUCGGGAGGAAUACCAGUGGCGAAGGCGGCCUUCUGGACUGACACUGACGCUGAGGUGCGAAAGCGUGGGUAGCAAACAGGAUUAGAUACCCCUGUAGUC
rnacentral:rRNA from 1 species